rfam:Cricetulus griseus cell line CHO-K1, whole genome shotgun sequence.
GGAUGUGAGGCCAAUCUAGCUUCGACAUCUGUUACCCCACUGAGCGCCAGGCUUGAAGUGACUGAUCUGGCUGACUAGGUGGGUGUCCUUUGCUUCUCUUACUGCUUCAUGUGCAUCCCUCCUGAAUAGAGGAGGAGAGGCCUUUGGUUAAGGGUAUAAAAUUAGCUGUGCUCCCCUGCUAAAACAAUGUAAGUUCUUUCCUGUACACUUCCAGAGGCCAGAAAACUUAAAUUAAUUUUUUGUCACUAAUGUAAAAAUGUAGGAAUGCUGGCUCAUGUAU